rnacentral:rRNA from 1 species
CCCUACGGGACGCAGCAGUGAGGAAUAUUGGUCAAUGGCCGAGAGGCUGAACCAGCCAAGUCGCGUGAGGGAAGACGGCCCUACGGGUUGUAAACCUCUUUUGUCGGGGAGCAAAGAGAGGCACGUGUGACUCAUUGAGAGUACCCGAAGAAAAAGCAUCGGCUAACUCCGUGCCAGCAGCCGCGGUAAUACGGAGGAUGCGAGCGUUAUCCGGAUUUAUUGGGUUUAAAGGGUGCGCAGGCGGAGGUGCAAGUCAGCGGUCAAAUUGCGUGGCUCAACCCCGAACUGCCGUCGAAACUGCAUCC